rnacentral:rRNA from 1 species
GACGAACGCUGGCGGCGUGCUUAACACAUGCAAGUCGAACGGAAAGGCCCUGCUUGCAGGGUACUCGAGUGGCGAACGGGUGAGUAACACGUGGGUGAUCUGCCCUGCACUUCGGGAUAAGCCUGGGAAACUGGGUCUAAUACCGGAUAGGAGCCAUUUUUAGUGUGAUGGUUGGAAAGUUUUUUCGGUGUAGGAUGAGCUCGCGGCCUAUCAGCUUGUUGGUGGGGUAAUGGCCUACCAAGGCGGCGACGGGUAGCCGGCCUGUGAGGGUGGACGGCCACAUUGGGACUGAGAUACGGCCCAGUCUCCUACGGGGGGCAGCAGAGGGGAAUAUUGUACAAUGGGGGCAAGGCGGAUGCAGCGACGCUGCGGGGUGGAUGACGGCCUUCGGGGUGAAAAAACGUUUCGCCAGGGACGAAGCAUAUUGUGACGGUACCUAGAGAAGAAGCACCGGCUAACUACGUG